AUCCGUGUAAUUUACCAAAGUCACUAUUAUCAUAUCUCGGCGUUUCCGCCCUUGUUUGGAACUACUGAAUGUUGUUGUCUCCGCCACUGUCGAUUUAUCUAUUGCAAAGUCAUAAUUGAUAAUGGAGCUGCUAAGAUCGCUGCUGCCGCCAUGAAUUGGGGAUAAAGGGGAUUAUUGAGUUAAAUUCUGCGAUUGAAACAUCGAGGUAGGGGUUUUCUUAAAUUCUAUUUUAUAUUACAGAGUUGUGAUAAAUAGAUAUUGAUGCAAAGAGAUUUACUUCUGUGAUUAUAUUUGUCUUAUGGAUGUGAUGGUUUGUUGGACUGAAUUAUUGGGUGCUUGAUUGCGUGAGUGGUGUGUGGUUGUGGAUAAAAACCGGUUUGGAAUGUCAUUUACUUGAUUAUUAAGA